rnacentral:rRNA from 1 species
GACGAACGCUGGCGGCGUGCCUAAUACAUGCAAGUCGAACGCUUCUUUUUCCACCGGAGCUUGCUCCACCGGAAAAAGAGGAGUGGCGAACAGGUGAGUAACACGUGGGUAACCUGCCCAUCAGAAGGGGAUAACACUUGGGAACAGGUGCUAAUACCGUAUAACAAUCAAAACCGCAUGGUUCUGAUUUGAAAGGCGCUUUCGGGUGUCGCUGAUGGAUGGGCCCGCGGGGCAUUAGCUAGUUGGUGAGGUAACGGCUCACCAAGGCCACGAUGCAUAGCCGACCUGAGAGGGUGAUCGGCCACAUUGGGACUGAGACACGGCCCAAACUCCUACGGGAGGCAGCAGUAGGGAAUCUUCGGCAAUGGACGAAAGUCUGACCGAGCAACGCCGCGUGAGUGAAGAAGGUUUUCGGAUCGUAAAACUCUGUUGUUAGAGAAGAACAAGGAUGAGAGUAACUGUUCAUCCCUUGACGGUAUCUAACCAGAAAGCCACGGCUAACUACGUGCCAGCAGCCGCCGCGG